rnacentral:rRNA from 1 species
UAGGGAAUAUUGGACAAUGGGCGAAAGCCUGAUCCAGCCAUGCCGCGUGAGUGAUGAAGGCCUUCGGGUCGUAAAACUCUUUUCUGUGGGACGAACGAUCGGGGUAGGAAAUGCCCUCGAUGUGACGGUACCUCAGGAAUAAGCAACGGCUAACUCCGUGCCAGCAGCCGCGGUAAUACGGCGGUUGCGAGCGUUGUUCGGAAUAACUGGGCGUAAAGGGAGCGCAGGCGGUUCGGUAAGUCUAAAGUGGAAGCCCGGGGCUUAACCUCGGAAGUGCUUUGGAUAGUGUCGAGCUCGAGUUCGUGAGAGGAAAGCGGAAUUCCAGGUGUAGCGGUGAAAUGCGUAGAUAUCUGGAGGAACACCGGUGGCGAAAGCGGCUUUCUGGCGCGAUACUGACGCUGAGGCUCGAAAGCA